rnacentral:rRNA from 1 species
GUGGGGAAUAUUGCGCAAUGGGGGAAACCCUGACGCAGCGACGCCGCGUGAGCGAAGAAGGCCUUAGGGUUGUAAAGCUCUGUUUUAAGGGACGAAUGUCGUGGGGAGUAAUAUGCUCUGCGAAUGACGGUACCUUAAGAGGAAGCCCCGGCUAACUACGUGCCAGCAGCCGCGGUAAGACGUAGGGGGCGAGCGUUGUCCGGAAUUACUGGGCGUAAAGAGCACGUAGGCGGGAACUUAAGUCAGGUGUGAAAGACAGGGGCUCAACUCCGGGGUUGCACUUGAAACUGAAUGUCUUGAGGGCAGGAGAGGAAAGCAGAAUUCCUGGUGUAGCGGUGAAAUGCGUAGAAAUCAGGAGGAAUACCAGUGGCGAAGGCGGCUUUCUGGACUGACCCUGACGCUGAGGUGCGAAAGCGUGGGUAGCAAACAGGAUUAGAUACCCUGGUAGUCC